rnacentral:lncRNA from 1 species
GGGGUUCAAGACCAGCCUGGCCAACAUGGCGAAAACCCAUCUCUACUAAAAAUACAAAAAUUAUCCAGGCAUGGGGGCGGGUGUCUUUAGUUCCAGCUACUCGGGAGGCUGAGAUGGGAGGAUUGCUUGAACCCAGGAAGUGAAGGUUGCAGUGAACUGAGGUUGCAUCACUGCACUCCAGCUGGGGUGACAGAGCAAGACUCUGUCUCAAAAAAAAAAAGAAAAAAGAAAAACAUCAUUGAACUUGGAGUAAGAGUUGAAGCUUAAGGCUUUCCUUGGCUCCUGCCCUUCUGCCUCAGGUCCCUGGUCUCAGGAUGGUUUUCCUCUCUCAGCAUGCAUUGUAGACUGAACUCCAGGUGAUGAGGUUCUCCAGAUUGACCUCAGGCCCCUCCUCUGGGCAGCCAUUUUGGAUCUGACACAGGCACCUUCUAUGGCUCUGGCUCUAAUAGUGAGUAUCUAAAAAAUGGGUAGUGUAGGGGGGAUAUUUUAAAAUCUUAAGGUCUCACUGAUGCCCUUGAAAUUAAGCCAUGUCUUCUGGGUUUGGUGUGUGGACAUGCACAGGCCACAUUUCACUCAUGGUGGCCCCAGGCUUGGGGUUUAAGGCUGUGCGAUGGCCAUUCUGAAGUUCUUAGUCUUUGAAUUUGUGUUUUGAUAGUGAAGUUUGAGGGGACAGUGAAGUAUGCAGCAUGCUUGAUGCCUCAACUCAUGUGGGUCCCACUUCCUGCUGCCUCCCCGCUUGCUAACUCCUCUGCAACUUCACUUCCCAGUCCCCUCUGGCCUAGCAGAUCAAAAUCCUCUGGAGGCCUCUGCUCUCUGCCUAGUAGAUUCCUUUCCUGUGUCUGUCUCAGGUCUGCCCACAGCCUGUGGUUGGGGAAACAUGGAAGGCUCUGAGUUUCUGGUUUAUAGAUUUUAGGAACUACAGGGAAAACCUCAGUUCUCAUAUAUGAGUCAUUCAGAGUAAACGUUAGAGCUGGAAGCACCUUUUUAAAAGAGUAAGUUAAAGAAGCCAGCAGUAAAAGGAUGGAUGUUCAUAUUUUAGUGUUAGAUAUGUCAUUUGGUAGCACCCACAGAAGCCUCAUGGUUGAGCUACUCUUCUCUAGGGGAAAUGAUUUAAUUAUAAUGAUACUAA